CUCCGCAGACUAGCUUUCCUUUGCAAACAGACCAUUGCCAAAGACCUCUUCAGAAGGGCAGCUCCAAGCACACCAUCUUCAUUUGAAAGGGUGAAUCCACCUGUUGAAACGAACCGUGAGCCACAGAUAGCCUUGGCUUGAAGAAAUACAGGGAAGCCAACAGUUGACAGCAACUGCAGAUGUGCACUGCAUACAUGUCUGGAGAUAAAGCAAUGGGCAGUCUCAAUCCCAAGUAAUAAAGAUGAUCUGGAGGAGGAUAAUGGCACAAGACUAUCGUUAAGAGUUUUUGAGAACACAGUUACUGUCCACAUUGACUCACCUUCUUCUACAACUAUGGAUCAAAGCUGUUAGCAAAUAGGUUUGACCAGAUUGUUCCUGUGAACCGGGAGUGUUUCAGACCAAACCCUGCCAGUCUGCCCCAGCAACUGAGGAAGCUGAACAGACUGAAUGGAAUUUGGAAAAUGACCUGCUGCUUCCUUGGAGAUGGUCUUGCCAAUGCAGAAGUGGGACACACACGAAGGCUGAGAGAGCUUGCACGGCCACUGCCUGUGUUGUGUCGCAGCUCUUCUGCGGAGAGACAAGAGACUCAACCUGCCCACUUACACCAAUGCAGCUUCCUACAAGACUAUGUACUGAAAGAGCCCCAGACUCCCACAUUUGUGGGGAUGUUUUCUAGAGCAUAGCAAGUGUUUGGGGCAGAAAGUAGAGCACCCCUUAUUCCAUUGCAACCUCCACAUUUUAAAAAAGACACAGUGGACCAGAUUCUUGGCCCCUGGAAGGCUGCUUUUGGCUGUCCUGGGGGAGCAAAGCAGGCCUAAACUUGGUGUAUUGGGUUCUCUGAGGAUUUCCCUGUGUAACUUAGGGGAUUCCCUCAAAGGUCUAGAGCCAGCAUGACAGCUGUACACCAGUACCCUGUUUAGCCUCUCGCUCAAGAGGAAGCUUAGCUAGUAUGUCCCUAUGCCCUGGAUUCCAACAGCUGGAAUGAUUCCUUGGGGCCAAGGGAGUCCAGGCAACCUGUGUGAUGAUCUUGGGGUUCAUUAACUAACAAACCAGUGAAUGAGAAAGGAAUAAAAACAUGUAUUAAAAGCUGGAAGGCAUCUGUAGUGAGCUUUCCCCCAACUUCCACCUCCAGGGAACAGCUGCCAAUUCCUAUGUUCAUAAUUCUGUCCCUUAGGAAGGAAUGUCUCUAAAUUACAAUCUUCUACAAAGCUUUCUACUCAACCUGCUAUAGUUAAGGCUGGAGACCAGCUCGUCCCCACCCACCCCUAGGAUAUGGAAAGUGUAAUGGUGGCUUAAGGCCCCCUUUGCUUUUUCCUCUUAUUUCCACACUGAGCACAACUUGUCUAUACUACAGGCCCUGGCCCAGUGACAUUGAAACCAAAAGUGGUUAGGACCUCAGUAAGUAUUCUGCCACAAGAUGGGGUUUGCUUUGUAGGUGAGUGAUCUACAGAGUUAAAGUAGUGGGAUUUAAAUAUAGUUGGAUCCCUGUAAAAUAAAUCUGUGUCAAUAUUAGUGCUUACAACACUAGAAUCACCUGCUCAAAAUAAAACAUCUUUAAUGAAACUACUUUUCAACAUAUAACAGUCUUUUCUUUUUAAUUCUUACUGAAAGAGCAGGACAAAACCAUUAAAGGUACAGAAUUUCUCAGGCAUAUGUGAUCUAAAAUAAGAAAUAAAAGAUGAUUGCUAUUAGCUACAUUUAAUUGAACGUAUACGUUCCAUAUCUGAGAUCAUUUUUACUUGUAAAUCAAAUGCACCUUUUUAUUCUAACGUGUUACAGUUUCCCUGUAUAAGCAUGUAUAUAUUAACACACUGUUUACUUUACGUUGGAAUGAAAAUCUGCUGUGUCAACGUCAUUAUGUUUUUAUAACUCUCUUGACUUUCUUUUAAUCAAUAACAACAGGUUAUGAGUCAAAGGGUUUUAAUAUUAUUGUGCUUAUAGGCCAUUAGAAUUGGAAAUGAGCUCUAUAAUCUUUAAUUUCCCCACAGAUAACAUAUGGCGUUCAUGAUAACAAAUGCACCAAAAAGUGAUAGUUGGUCUUUAUAGUCAAUGAAUCACUACUUUUGAUAACUAUAACUUUUUCCAGAAGAAACUCAGUUGAAUUUCGACUAAGACAUAUCAAUCCAACUGAUAUCCAGUUUUUGAUUGAAUUUUUGCCUAUGAGAACUGAAUUAGAGAAACUGAACAUGUAAGAGAAAGGAAGUUUCUUCAUCUCAUUGAUCUCUACAUUAGUUAAGAAUUAAGAUGUUACUAAAUGUAUGAUACAUACAUACAAUUACAGUGUAAUACAGAACUCUACAAUGUCCAGAUUUAUAAGCCACCCAUCAUAGAAUGUUGGACUUUUGAAGCUCUGUCCUUAUAGCAUUUUGGCCAACAAGCUUCUUCAUACUACAGGUUGAAACUCUCUUAACCUUGACUUUCUGGUCCGGCAGACCAUGGAUGUUCCAGGACCAGAGUGUCCCACUGGAGGGCAAGUGCCUGGGAGCCCUGCAAGCUGGCACAGCUGCAGGAGCCCAUCUCUGCAGCGAGAGCCCGGCACACAGAGGCAGCAGGUCCGAACAGCGCAGCACUGACAGCCCGGUGUGUGAAGGCAGCAGGGCUGCCGGGCAAAGCAGUGGGAGCCUGGAGAGCAAAGGCAGCAGGGCUGCCCAGCACAGCAGCAGGAGCUGGGCACUGACAGCUGGAGCCCGGUGCACAGAGGUGGCGGGGCUGCUCAGUAGAGAAGCAAGGGCUGACAAGGAAGCAGGGCCAGUGAGAGGGGGAGCCAGCUGGGAGGGUAGUGGUUGAGCCAGGGCUGGAGGGGCU